GUUCAGACCUGUGCCCUUUUAAUUUGCCUCGCUGCUCGUUGGGCUGCAUAGGCUUUAGGCUAGGCUACUCGUCUGCUGGACCUUCGGUUCAGGUAUCACUCCUUGUGCAUGGCUGCGGGAAGCCAGUUCAUCGUUGCAUUCAUUUAAUCAUCUGGGAUUGCGUCCCAUACCUUCUGGUAGGAAGUCUACACGGCCUUCCUCGGGUGAUUCUCUGCAUGCACUUGCUGUUGCUCAAACUACUCUCAGCUACCGCUGAUCUGUCAUGUCCCAGGUAUGCCGUGACGUCCCCGACGUUCUCGGCUAUCAGGGUUCUCAAUUUUGGGGGGUCUUACACCAAAGCUCGAACCAAAAUGACGGCACGCCGGCCCAUGGUCAUCAAUUGCCAGUAUGUCACACAAGCUAUUAUCUAGGCAAUAAUAGGCGUUUUCUUUUCAAUGCCCGUAUUAUGUCAGUGUUCAUGAGCUGACACCACAGUGUGGGCUCAUGCCCACAUGGUUGAGCUUUUAAUUAAGAAGCUGUGUCAUUCGUGUAUGUAACAUAUCCUUCUAGCGUCUUUUGUAUGUUUAAAAUGUAUUUUCUGAUUCCGUAUUGUGUAUUGGGUUCCUAGGAAUUCUAUGGCAGGCCUCACUUUGCUCACUGCCCACCAGUGGGUCGCUUCAGCACUCCAUAUAUUGGUUUUAAUGGUUACCGGCUGUUCAUGAUUAUGUCGGCAAUUUUACAUUUUGCUAGUUGUGGUUUAAAUGGUGGCCUAUGCUGGAAGUUCGUUGAUUACGACUACCAACGUAGCCGUUGGCUGGUUGUUUUACCGAUGACGAUGCUACAUGUCGCCUGUCUAACCACUCCUUCCUUCUCGCAGGUCAAACGGAGCGGUCCAUCAUCACUGGCAGACUCAAGUCUCCUUCAGGCCAACGCCGCGCCCUUCAGGCACUCUCUUUAGACACAACGGGUCUCUGCGUGUCCACGUGAUUUCAGCCCAUCUAGUCAUGCCAUCAGUCACAUUGAUUGCUGACUCGAAUUGCCGUUUUAGCAGGAUCCUCUGCAAAUGUGUACUCUAAUUUCCAUUCUCCUAUUUUGCCUUGGCUGUUUUGUUUUUGGCAGAUAUGUUCACCCGAAGUGAUCGUGCCAGGGAGGACGUGCAAGUUCCUUUACAUUCUCCUCCCAAUCUUUAAUUUGCUAACCCCUGCAGGUGCAUCAUGCCUCCCCUCUUCCGUUGAGGGGAUGCAGUUCGUCAAUGGAGAAGCAGUUCCACAUAUCACACUAACAUCUACUUUCUUACAGGGAUGGCAGUGCCGGUUCACAGAAUCACGCAAUCGUGUGGAUCAUGUUUCCAGUUCAUACUGGAGGGGGGGCCAUCCCUCCGUCUUCACAAAUCUCCCGAAGGCCAGCGCUUUCGAGGAUAUCUCUUGUAGCACGGCUUAAAACUAGCCUUCCUAAUCCCAGCACUUAUCACCUGUCUAGAACUGACUCUUGACUGUGUAAAACCGGCACUCACUGAUGCACUUUUCGUUAUUGUGCUCUACCUUGUAAAUUGUUUUUAAUUGCACUGGCAUUGUGGGAGAAUUGUUUUAGCUUUAACCUGUUUGCCGUCACGUUGGUCUAGGUUGCCCUAGACGCUGGUUGCCCAGUUUGGUCCAGGUGGCCCUGGAUGCCGGUUGCCCGGCCGUCAUGUCUGUCUGGGUUGCCCUGGACACUGGUUGCCCAGCUCAUGGUUCAGGAUACCGCUAUACGGUCAAUGUUAACUGCCUGAUUCCGGACUUCGACGCAAUUGGAUGACACUACGUCUGUCAUCUGUUUAGAUUGCCUCUGGCCCGCUAUAUCAGCUACACAUAUAUUGGUUCCCCGCGAUGCAAGGGGCAAAAGUUACGUGCAUCAUACUCUUUGCCAGACUCGAGUCUCUCCCUGAGGAAACGCUUCCGUGAGAACUCUGGA